UUCCCCUAGUAACUGCGAGUGAAGCGGGAAAAGCUCAAAUUUAAAAUCUGGUGUCUUUGCUAUCCGAGUUGUAAUCUAGAGAAGUGUUAUCCGCGCUGGACCGUGUAUAAGUCUCCUGGAACGGAGCGUCAUAGAGGGUGAGAAUCCCGUCUCUGACACGGACUCCCAGUGCUUUUGUGAUGCGCUCUCAAAGAGUCGAGUUGUUUGGGAAUGCAGCUCAAAAUGGGUGGUAAAUUCCAUCUAAAGCUAAAUAUUGGCGAGAGACCGAUAGCGAACAAGUACCGUGAGGGAAAGAUGAAAAGCACUUUGGAAAGAGAGUUAAACAGUACGUGAAAUUGUUGAAAGGGAAACGCUUGAAGUCAGUCGCAUUGGUCUGGGAUCAACCUUGCGUUUUUGCUUGGUGUACUUCCUGGUUAAUGGGUCAGCAUCAAUUUUGACCAGUGGAAAAAGGUUAAGGGAAUGUGGCAUCUUCGGAUGUGUUAUAGCCUUUGCUCACAUACAUUGGUUGGGAUUGAGGAACUCAGCACGCCGCUAGGUCGGGUUUUAACCACGUUCGUGCUUAGGAUGCUGGCAUAAUGGCUUUAAUCGACCCGUCUUGAAACACGGACCAAGGAGUCUAACAUGCCUGCGAGUGUUUGGGUGGAAAACCCAAGCGCGUAAUGAAAGUGAAAGUUGGGAUCCCUGUCGUGGGGAGCACCGAUGCCCGGACCAGACCUUCUGUGACGGAUCCGCGGUUGAGCAUGUAUGUUGGGACCCGAAAGAUGGUGAACUAUGCCUGAAUAGGGUGAAGCCAGAGGAAACUCUGGUGGAGGCUCGUAGCGAUUCUGACGUGCAAAUCGAUCGUCGAAUUUGGGUAUAGGGGCG
rnacentral:rRNA from 1 species